GGGGUUGUGGCUCAGUGGUAGAGCACUUGCCUAGCAUGUAUGAGGCACUGGGUUUGAUCCUCAGCAUCACAU
rnacentral:tRNA from 1 species